CACGUAGUUAGCCGGGGCUCCUUAGUCAGGUACCGUCUUGUCUCGUUCCUGCUGAUAGAGCUUUACAUACCGAAAUACUUCUUCACUCACGCGGCGUCGCUGCAUCAGGGUUUCCCCCAUUGUGCAAUAUUCCCCACUGCUGCCUCCCGUAGGAGUUUGGGCCGUGUCUCAGUCCCAAUGUGGCCGUCCACCCUCUCAGGCCGGCUACUGAUCGUCGCUUUGGUAGGCCGUUACCCUGCCAACUGGCUAAUCAGACGCGGGUCCAUCCCAUACCACCGGAGUUUUUCACGCAGGAGCAUGCGCUCCCGUGCGCUUAUGCGGUAUUAGCACCUGUUUCCAGGUGGUAUCCCCCGGUAUGGGGCAGGUUACCCACGCGUUACUCACCCGUCCGCCACUAAGAUACUCAUUUCCAAAGUGCAAGCACUCCUUCCAUAAGCAUCCCCGUUCGACUUGCAUGUGUUAAGCACGCCGCCAGCGUUCAUCCUGAGCCAGGAUCAAAACUCUCG
rnacentral:rRNA from 1 species